rnacentral:rRNA from 1 species
GACGAACGCUGGCGGCGUGCUUAACACAUGCAAGUCGAACGAAGUGGCGCACGGGUGAGUAACGCGUAAUCAACCUGCCCUUCAGAGGGGGACAACAGUUGGAAACGACUGCUAAUACCGCAUACUGAAGGUGGGGAUUGCGUUUGAUUAGCUAGUUGGAGGGGAAACGGCCCACCAAGGCGAUGAUCAGUAGCCGGUCUGAGAGGAGGAACGGACAGAGUGGGACUGGGACACGGCCCAGACUCCUACGGGAGGCAGCAGUGGGGAAUCUUCCGCAAUGGACGAAAGUCUGACGGAGCAACGCCGCGGGAGUGAGGACGGCCGUCGGGUUGUAAAGCUCUGUUAAUCGGGACGCGGUACCGGAAUAGAAAGCAACGGCUAACUACGUGCCAGCCGCCGCGGUAAUUC